rnacentral:lncRNA from 1 species
UUUCAUAAAAUGUUUUAAUGUUUUUGAUGAUUUUAAGUAAAGAGGAAAUGAGUUUUUGAAUAAAAACACCCUUGGAGGAAACUCAGGUUCGGCCGCCGAAACUCAAAGUUCGGCCGCCGAACAUGCAUGCACUUCGGGAGUACUUUAGGCCCCCGAAGGCAUAAGUGAGGAAAGUCCAGGUUCGGCCGCCGAACCUCAAGUUCGGCCGCCGAACAUGGCAUGCAUGCGGAGGCACUUUCGGCCCCCGAACGUGGCCUGGCCAGCCACUAUAAAAGGGUCCCUUAGCCGAAAACGGGCGAGCUUUU